UGCUUGUUCUCAUCCCCACCAGCACGACCGGAGGAGGGAGAAGGGAGCUCCACCUGCCACUGAACGCGCUUCAGCGAGGGAGUCCGUUCCCCACGUCGGAAAAACUCCAUCGCUCCCCAUUUUUGUUCUCUGCCCUCCCUCCCGCUGUCCCCUAUUCUCCUCCCGCACGUACCUUUCUCUGCCCUGUUAAAAAACCCACCGACAACACCAUUGUGGCCACCAGACGGGUGAGAAGGUAGUUGCGAUGGUGAUUGAAGGAGAGGCGGUAAGACCAGGGACAACCAGAAAUCGCCAGCGAGCAGCAGCCAUUCGAGUCGAUACUUGAAAUUUGAGGUGACUGAUGUUGCUGCACAACAAAUUCUGCCAACUGCCGCUUCUCCAAAGUCUGAUGACAUGAUUAAUCAGGCAGAAAUGGCAACACAAGUAAAUCUAGUACCUUCUUCAAACCUACUGCUGGAGUCAAGAAUGCUUCUAUGGAAAUUAUAGCCAACCAUUGGAGGCCCAUAUGACCACGAGUACCUUCUUGAGUUAGAAAUUUGGAGCAGAAAGGAGGAGAAGGAAAGUCAAAGGAAGACAAGCUAGCUGCCUUACCUGUGAUCGACUCACC